rnacentral:lncRNA from 1 species
GGGAAGGACAUCUCAGAGGGAGUGAGUAGGGAGUAGGAGUAGAGAGAAACAGGAAAGAGACAGCUUCUCUGAGCAGCAAAUCCCCAAAUCUUCACACCUAUUAUCACCACCACUUUCCCUCCUCCUUUCUCUUCAGCUUGUGGGUAUUCUCAGAAGGAUGGGGAACAUAACUCAUAGUCACCCUGGAGAAUGACUUGCAUUCUCAGUAUGUCCAGUCAGCACAUGUAUAUCUCAGCCUCAGUAAUCACAAGAUUUCAGGGAAAAUUAAAAGCAGUUCCUCAUUGACGAUUGGUUGGGGCCCCUGUUUUUUUUCUUCCUUUUGGGGAAAGGGCAUCAAGAAGGAGGGUGAAAGGCAAGAGGCUGAUGAGAAAUAGAAGAGAAGAAAAUGGUGCAUGACGGGAGAAAUGAAGACAGAAGAUGGCAAAAAGUAACCGAAGAGCCCAUCAUAUCAAAGAAGACCAAGAGAACGCUGAAGGAAGAAAACAGAUUUUUUUUUUUAAUGAGGAUCGGGAAUUGCAAUAUCAUUUUGUUUCUGCUAAAGAUAAGAUUAUUUGCUUGCUUUGUGAUAAUGCAAUAUCAACAUUAAAGAAAUUCAACGCUCGUCAGCAUUAUAACACUCAUAAGGACCACAAAUAUUUUAAAUUAGAAGGAGAGGUGUGAAAGGUUGUAUUGCAGAAAUUAAAAGAUGAAAAGCAAAAGCAAAGACAAUUCUUUCAAGCAGCAAUAAGACCUGGAAAUAACGCCACUGAAGCAACUUAUAAAGUAGCUUAUAUAUUUGGAAGAAAAGGGAAGUCAUUCGGUGUUGUAGAAAUUAUGAAACAAUGCAUUGUUGAAGUUGUAGAAUGCUUAGACCCUGAUAACAUUUCAAAGUACAAACAACUGCCUCUUUCAAGGAGAACCAUAAGUGAUUGGCAGUAGGAAUUAGCCUUCAACUUAACAGAUUAAUUUCAUGCAAUACUUCAAAAGGAAAAUAUACAUUAUUCAAUAGCUUUGGAUGAAUCAACUGAUAUUACUGACUCAGCACACAUUUUGUACUUCAUUUGGGUGACAACAGAAGAUUUUUUUUGCAUCAAAGAAUUUCUUGCUUUGGGUACUCUUUUUAAAAAAAAUUUUUUUUUUAGGCAAUUGAGGUUAAGUGACUUGCCCAUGGUCACACAGCUAGCAAGUGUCAAGUGUUUGGUCUGAGGCGGGUCCUCCUGACUUCAGGGCCAGUGCUUUAUCCACUGCACCACCUAGCUGCCCCUGGGCACUCUUGUGAACAGAACACAGAGAAUAGAUAUUUUCAACAACUUUCAAGAUAAAUGUUGUGAAGUUGGACUGAAUUUGGUAAAUUUAAUGAGUAUAUGUACAGAUGGUACACUUUUCAUGACAGGAAAACAUGAAGGGUUUAUUGCACAGUUUAAAAAAAAAAAAGCAUUAACAGAUCCAGAUGCUCUCUUUUCUUUUCAUUCUAUCUUACAUCAGCAAAAUCUCUAUGCUAAACCUACUAUUUCCAGUGAUACUUUGCAACAAGUUAUAAGUAUUAUUAACUAUAUUUGUGCAAAUGCAACAUGACAUCAUCAGUUUUGUAAUGGGCUAAAGUUGAACAAUGAGGUAUUCAACUGGAUUUGCUGUAUCAUUCUAAUGUGCAUUGGCUAUCACAGGGACAGGUGUUAGUCAA